ACACACCACAUAUACAAACCAUUCAUUUUAUUUCCUGUAUUGGGUUUAUACAAACUUGCAAGAUACAAAUGCAGAACUCACUGGGAUUCUUCAGUACCUAAAUCUAAAAAGAAUGCUGCUGAAAGGGGGAAGCAAACUCUCACCUGUUUCAGUCAGGCCAUCCCUCCUCCUGGGGAGGGGGCUCAUUGGCUAGAAAGAUGCUAAGGGGAUGCUACAGCUGUUUGUCCCCUGACAGAGAUUCCAUCUAUCUAACCUUCACCCUUCUUCUAAGGCCACUUUUAUGCUAAAUAAAGACACUGAGAUAAUAAAUUUCCUUGUACAGUUUAUUGUCUAAUACUAGCAAAUCAAAUUGGCCCCAAUAUGUGCAUAAAUAGAUAUACGUGUGUGUGUGUGUGUGUGUGUAUAUAUAUAUAUAUAUAUAAUGUGUGUGUAUAUCAUAUUUUUUCUUAGUUUUAAGAGCUGCCAGGUAGAGGGUGCCUAAAGGGGAAAGGAAUUGGUUCCCUCUUGCCGUAGCCAGCCCUGCCCAAGAACAUGCCUCUCCCAAAGGCCGGAGAGCAAGUGUGCCACUUGUGCCCUUAGAAAAUCUUCAAAGUGACAGUAGCAGUAUUUGACUGCAGCCUCUUGGUUAUUGAUCAUGGAGGUAAUGUGCUCAUUGAGAAGGCCCUGGAUGAAUAAUCAGAGCUUCCCCAGGUGGGUCACUUAGCUCUGGACCCCCAUCUGGGCUCUGUUCAUUCAGAGCAGGAUGUUCUAGGCUGGCGACAGGGUGUCAGUAAAUGCCCCAGGUGGGAGGCCAGGCUUCAAACGCUGGCCAGGAGCUCUGCUCUAGAUUCCCAAGCCCUUGAUUUCAGACCUAGACAAAGACUUCCAUCCUGCCCAAAUCCUUGCAAGGCCAGAGACCCUUUCCCCACUUUGAUGGUUGACAAAGGCUAAGCAGCUUGGAAGGCUGAGCUGGCUUAGUUCGGUGCCCCAGUGGCAGCCUGCUGGGGUAAAGUCCCGGGGGUUUCUUGGGUGAGGUUGAGAUGCCACCUUGUCUGUAGGACCCUCCUUGGCCCAGAGGCUGAUUUCACAGUCUGGAUACCAGACUGAGGUACCAUGCCUUUGGUACAGCCCCCAGAGAGAAAGGUUGCAGAGGGGGGAUGUCAUAAAUGUGACCCAGGCCAGAGAGGGAUCAAGUGAAAAGGAGUGUGACAAGUCCAAGGAACUUGUAUGUGUCUGUGCUACAGGGCCAGGGAUGGCCCAGAGGAUCCCAAGCCGCCUCCUCUGGGCUUCGCACCGUCUCGUACACUGACAUCCUUAGUGCUGUUUGGCAUAGGCUGCUGUUACGCUGUCUGCUCUUUCCAGCAGGCUGAUGAAGAGGGGUAGUCUAGCAGCCCAUCUGGGGUGCAUGCCUGCAUGGGUCUCCUUUGUGCAUACAACUGCAAACAGUUCCUUCCAGAGGAUUCACGCCUGACAACCGCAGAGGGUCAUCAGGAGCAGACAGUGUAAUAAAAUCCUUAGGCCAGGACUUCCGAGGGAAUGCCCUGCCCCCGGCAAGAUGCUUUCUGGGUGAGCUCUGGGGACCAGCCCUUUCGUGACUGGGGAAUAGGAUGGAAGGAAGCCACUGUGGCAGAGGGACAGGCACAGGGUUGGGACCUAAAGGCAGUUACCCCAUCUCCUCACCUCAUUUGCCAAUUCCAUUCAGACAUUGCACAAUUUGAAAAUAGAUUUGCUUUUUUUAAACAAAAGCAUAAAAUAGAUGUCUUAAAAUAAGUCUUUCCUCUCCCCUUCUUUGGAUCAAAAAGGCAAGGGGUAUGGUCUUGAUAUGCUAGGAAUGAUGUGGAAAAUAAGGGAGAGAAAAACAGGCCUGGGCAGGAACUGUAGGAAAAGAUCAGACAUCCAAACAAAUAUAUUACAUAUAUAGAUCUAUAAUAUGUAUAAUCUCCAUAAAACAUAUAUUAAGGCAUGUAAAGCAACAUAAAGAGCCAGCUUUAUGAAAUAAGAGAUGAGAGAGAGGUGGCAGAGGCGCAGACAUUAUUUCUUGGUAUUUUACAUGUAUUUCUAAAAAAUAUUACUUUAAAAAAAAAAAAAGAGACGGACAAAGUGGCAGGCAUGGAAGGCCCUGAAAAAUCUGUUUCCUGUGGAGGGAGAAAGGCUUGGGAGAAAGAGAGAGAGAGGAAAUGACCUGGGAGCCAAUCCCACCUGCCAGUCUGCAGGGGAGAAAGGGCAGGUUUGGGGUGCUUGAACUGUGAAGAUGGGAAAUACAGCCAAGGGUCACGUUUAAAAAACCUGCUAGAAGUGAAGAUCGGUGGAAUCCUCCCAGGCUGUAAUCCCUCAGAAACAUGAGAAUAUCCUAAGCACCUACAACAGUGCCUGGUACAUAAAAGGUGCUCGAUAAAUAUUUGUUGAGUAAAUUGUCAUCUUUACUUGCAUAUGAACCAGUAACUGUCCCAGCCAUGAAGGAGUGCAGAGGAAUUAGUAGGUGUUCUUGGGACCGCUGGAAGUCAGGCUGAAGCCUCUGAGCGGCAACUCUAGCAGACACCAGGCACAGACCUACU
rnacentral:lncRNA from 10 species